ensembl:snRNA U2 U2 spliceosomal RNA
AUCGCUUCUCGGCCUUUUGGCUAAGAUCAAGUGUAGUAUCUGUUCUUAUCAGUUUAAUAUCUGAUACGUCCCCUACCCGGGGACCAUAUAUUAAAUAGAUUUUUGGAACAGGGAGAUGGAAUAGGGGCUUGCUCCGUCCACUCCACGCAUCGACCUGGUAUUGCAGUAUCUCUAGGAACGGUGCACUCCCU